rnacentral:rRNA from 1 species
UACGGAGGGAGCAAGCGGUGUUCGGAAUUACUGGGCGUAAAGGGCGCGUAGGCGGUAUAAUAAGUUAGGUGUGAAAUCUUCGGGCUUAACCCGGAAAGUGCACUUAAAACUGUUAUACUAGAGUUCGGGAGGGGAAAGCGGAAUUCCUAGUGUAGAGGUGAAAUUUGUAGAUAUUAGGAAGAACACCGGUGGCGAAGGCGGCUUUCUGGAACGAUACUGACGCUGAGGCGCGAAAGCGUGGGGAGAAAGCAGG